CCUGCCCUAUGCAGGGGGAUAACAGUUGGAAACGACUGCUAAUACCGCAUAAGCUAUGGAGCUUUGCAUGAAGCUUAUAGCAAAGAUUUAUCGGCAUAGGAUGGACCCGCGUUGGAUUAGCUAGUUGGUGAGAUACCAGCCCACCAAGGCGACGAUCCAUAGCCGGCCUGAGAGGGUGAACGGCCACAUUGGGACUGAGACACGGCCCAAACUCCUACGGGAGGCAGCAGUGGGGAAUAUUGCACAAUGGGCGCAAGCCUGAUGCAGCAACGCCGCGUGAAGGAUGAAGGUUUUCGGAUCGUAACUUCUAUCAGCAGGGAAGAAAUAAUGACGGUACCUGACUAAGAAGCUCCGGCUAACUACGUGCCAGCAGCCGCGGUAAUACGUAGGGAGCAAGCGUUAUCCGGAUUUACUGGGUGUAAAGGGUGCGCAGGCGGCCAAGCAAGUCAGAAGUGAAAUUCCGAGGCUCAACUUCGGAGCUGCUUUUGAAACUGCUAGGCUAGAGUGUGGGAGAGGAAAGUAGAACUUUGAGUGUAGCGGUGAAAUGCGUAGAGAUUCAAAGGAAUACCAGUAGCGAAGGCGGCUUUCUGGACCAUAACUGACGCUCAGGCACGAAAGCGUGGGGAGCAAACAGGAUUAGAUACCCUGGUAGUCCACGCUGUAAACGAUGAAUGCUA
rnacentral:rRNA from 1 species